rnacentral:rRNA from 1 species
AUUGAACGCUGGCGGCAUGCUUUACACAUGCAAGUCGAACGGUAACAGGUUAAGCUGACGAGUGGCGAACGGGUGAGUAAUGCAUCGGAACGUGCCCGAUCGUGGGGGAUAACGCAGCGAAAGCUGCGCUAAUACCGCAUACGAUCUGAGGAUGAAAGCGGGGGACCGUAAGGCCUCGCGCGAUCGGAGCGGCCGAUGUCAGAUUAGGUAGUUGGUGGGGUAAAGGCCCACCAAGCCGACGAUCUGUAGCUGGUCUGAGAGGACGACCAGCCACACUGGGACUGAGACGCGGCCCAGACUCCUACGGGAGGCAGCAGUGGGGUAUUUUGGACAAUGGGCGAAAGCCUGAUCCAGCAAUGCCGCGUGCAGGAAGAAGGCCUUCGGGUUGUAAACUGCUUUUGUACGGAGCGAAAAGGUCCUUUCUAAUACAAGGGGCUCAUGACGGUACCGUAAGAAUAAGCACCGGCUAACUACGUGCCAGCAGCCGCCGCGGUAA